rnacentral:lncRNA from 1 species
UUUUGCAGCUGCUGAUGAUCAUGAUUAAAUAUGUGUGAGUGCUUUGUAACAGGUGGACCUUUAAAGCACCCACUCGUUGCGCAAUUCGCAUGU